AUGUCCGAUUCCAACCCGCCUACCAAGAAGAUUUGUCGAUUGAGCAUCCACGACAAGAAGAUGAGGCAGUGGAAAAGAAAGCUGAACUCCCAGAAGCCACAGACACCUGUGACCUGGGGAAUGGUGAAGGCACUCAACCAACAGGCUCUUGACCUUGAGAGUGUGCCUCCAACUUUUAACAACCGAAGCGCAGAGCUCCGGAAAGCUGCGGUCCCGCGUGGACCAGCACCAGUGGAGGACGUCCGCCACACCUACCCGCCUCACCCACCACGCCGGCCGCUCGGAGGUCACCGCCUCCACCACGUGCCCGCCCUCUUCAGUCAGCCCAUCUACGAUUGGCUGGAGGGGCUGCCCGUCGCCAGAGGAGGGAGCCGCGCGCCUAGAGGGGAGGGGAAGCUGGACUGCGGCGGCGGAACGGGCGGAGGUUGCCGGUUUCGUAACCGUCGCUCCUCCUUGCUGACUCUCAGGCUGCGAGGCCUGGGUCGGGUAGGGCCGUGCGGGGCCGCUCGGAAUAAAGGCCGCCUACGGGCGGGAAGGGAGACCCGACACCUGGGUGUAUGUGAAGAUUUCUUGGCAGUUGAACGUGGAAACCACUGAUCGAUCACCUUGCCUUUGUUUUCAUCUGUGUUGGCAAAGGAAGGUGCCCAAAUGAGCAAGAUUUUGCAGCAAAACAGUACCCCAGGAGUUAACGGAAUAAGUGUUAUUCAUACUCAGGCACAUGCCAGCGGCUUACAGCAGGUUCCUCAGCUGGUGCCUGCUGGGCCCGGAGGAGGAGGAGGAGGCAAAGCUGUACCUCCAAGCAAGCAGAGCAAAAAGAGUUCGCCCAUGGAUCGAAAUAGUGAUGAGUAUCGUCAGCGCAGAGAGAGGAAUAACAUGGCUGUGAAGAAGAGCAGGUUGAAAAGCAAACAGAAAGCACAGGAUACACUACAGAGAGUGAAUCAGCUCAAAGAAGAGAAUGAACGAUUGGAAGCAAAAAUUAAGUUACUGACUAAGGAAUUAAGUGUACUUAAAGAUUUGUUUCUCGAGCAUGCUCACAACCUUGCAGACAACGUGCAGCCCCCCGUUAGCACUGAAAAUACAACAAAUUCUGAAAAUACAGGACAAUAG